rnacentral:rRNA from 1 species
AGUGAACGCUGGCGGUAGGCCUAACACAUGCAAGUCGAACGGCAGCACAGUAAGAGCUUGCUCUUACGGGUGGCGAGUGGCGGACGGGUGAGGAAUACAUCGGAAUCUACUUUUUCGUGGGGGAUAACGUAGGGAAACUUACGCUAAUACCGCAUACGACCUACGGGUGAAAGCAGGGGAUCUUCGGACCUUGCGCGAUUGAAUGAGCCGAUGUCGGAUUAGCUAGUUGGCGGGGUAAAGGCCCACCAAGGCGACGAUCCGUAGCUGGUCUGAGAGGAUGAUCAGCCACACUGGAACUGAGACAAGGUCCAGACUCCUACGGGAGGCAGCAGUGGGGAAUAUUGGACAAUGGGCGCAAGCCUGGUCCAGCCAUACCGCGUGGGUGAAGAAGGCCUUCGGGUUGUAAAGCCCUUUUGUUGGGAAAGAAAAGCAGCAGGUUAAUACCCCGCUGUUCUGACGGUACCCAAAGAAUAAGCACCGGCUAACUUCGUG